rnacentral:rRNA from 1 species
CACGUAGGGUGCGAGCGUUGUCCGGAAUUAUUGGGCGUAAAGAGCUCGUAGGCGGUCUGUUGCGUCGGCUGUGAAAACCCGGGGCUCAACUCCGGGCCUGCAGCCGAUACGGGCAGACUAGAGUUCGGCAGGGGAGACUGGAAUUCCUGGUGUAGCGGUGAAAUGCGCAGAUAUCAGGAGGAACACCGGUGGCGAAGGCGGGUCUCUGGACAGUUCCUGACGCUGAGGCACGAAGGCCAGGGGAGCAAACGGG